rnacentral:lncRNA from 1 species
UUGUCCCUACUGUACUUCAAAGGGGAAGGGGAAAUCUGUGUUUUAUUUAUUCCUUCCCUUCACACCCUUUCUGUCUCUUCUUGUUUUCCGAUUCCUCCUUCUCUUCUCACCGUCUCCCUCUCUUUGUGUUUUCCAAUUCCUCCUUCUCUUCUCACCAUCUCCCUCUCUUCUUUUUUUCAGUGGCAGCAUGAUAGCCAGGGACAAGCCACUCUACCUCACUUGAAACUGGAGGUCGCCGUCGACAAGAAAAGACACCAGGGAGUCAGCCAUCACCUUCCCCCACCCAUUCACACCUCCCCAUCCAACCCCAAACCCCCCAACCUCCCCAACCCCCCCCCACCCACCUACCCACCAACCCCCCAACCCACCCGACCACCCCCUCCCCAACCCCCCCAACCCACGCACCUACUCCUACCACCACCUCCCCAACCCCCCCACCUCCCCAACCCAACUCCUACCGCCCCACCCUCCCCAACCCACUCCUCCACCACCCUCCCCAACCCACUCCACCACCACCUCCCCAACCCACUCUUACCACACCUCCCCAACCCACUCCUAACCACCCCUCCCCAACCCCCAACCCACUCUACCCCGACCUCCCCAACCCCCAAACCCACCCUGCCACACUCCCCAACCCCAACCCACUCCUACCACACCUCCCCAACCCACUCUUACCACCACCUCCCCAACCCCCCAACCCACUCCUACCACCACGCCCCAACCUCCCAACCCACUCUACCACCACUCCCCAACCCCCCAACCAAAUCUACCACCCCUCCCCACCCCAACCCACUCCUACCCCCACCCCCAACCCCCAACCCCCCCAACCACCCACCACCCACCACCACACCUCCCCAACCCACUCCUACCACCACCUCCCCAACCCCCCAACCCACUCUACCACCACCUCCCAACCCACUCCUACCACCACCUUCCCCAACCCACUCCACCACCACCUCCCCAACCCCCCAACCAGAUCCUACCACCAACCCCCCAACCCACUCCUACCACCACCUCCCCAACCCCCACAACCCACUCCUACCACCACCUCCCCACCUCCCCAACCCACUCUACCACCACCCCCCCACCCCACUCCUCCACCAACCACCAAACCCAGUCAGACUCACCCCCACCCACCCACACAACCCCAACCAACCCCCCACCUACCACCCCCCCAACCCCCACACUACCCCCCGACCAACCAUCCCCAACCACCCACCACCAACCCCACCCCCUCCCCAACCCACUCCUACCACCACCUCCCCAACCCCCACCACUCCGACCACACGCCCCAACCCCCAACCAACCCGUACCACCACCCCCCAACCCCCCCAACCCACUCCUACCACCCACCUCCCCAACCCCCAACCCACUCCACCACCACCUCUCCCAACCCACAUCGACAACCAACCCCCCAACCCACUCCUACCACCACCUCCGCACCACCCCCCAACACACCACUCCUACCACCACCUCCCCACCCCCCCCAACCCUCUCCUACCACCACCAACCCCCCACCUCCCCAACCCACUCCUACCACCACCUCCCCAACCCCCAACCCACUUCCUACCACCAUCCCCACCUCCCCAACCCACUCUACCACCACCUCCCCAACCCCACAACCCACUCCUACCACCAACCCCCCAACCCACUCCUACCACCACCUCCCCAACCCACUCCUACCACCACCUCCCCAACCCCCCAACCCACUCCUACCACCAACCCCCCAACCCACUCCUACCACCAACCCCCCAACCCACUCCUACCACCACCUCCCCAAACCCACUCAUACACCAACCUCCCCAACCCCCAACCCACUCCUACCACCCUCCCCAACCCACUCCUACCCCCACCUCCCCAACCCCCCAACCCACUCCUACCACCAACCCCCCAACCCACUCCUACACCACCUCCCCAACCCCCCAACCCACCCUACCACCAACCCCCCAACCCACUCCUACCACCACCUCCCAACCCACUCCUACACCACCUCCCCCAACCCCCCAACCCACUCCUACCACCACCUCCCCAACCCACUCCUACCCCCAACCCACUCCUACCCCCCAACCCACUCUUACCACCACCAACCACCACCCUUUUUUUGUCAAUGUAAUUUCGUUUUUUGAACAGAUUUGUGCCCAAGUUCCGAUGAUACUAGCGAUUUUUUUUCUCAGCGUUUCUUCUCCUGCCUGCUUCUAG